AGCAAUGUGUUGGCCUAGUGUCACCCUUGUCGACGCUCUCUGCCUUGCGCAACCAUGGUCAUCCCUCCUCCGGUGUGCCCAUGACCCUUCCUAUUCUAGUCUGAUUUAACCUCGCCUAAUGCCGAAAAGCUCCUUUCACAGCUCAAAUCGUUCACACAGGUUCUUAUCAAGCCUUGUGACUUUCCCUUCAAUCAACUAUACCCAAGCCUUGCUUGAAAGGAGACACAAUCUCUAUCAAGAUAUCAGAGGAUGUAUACCAAGAAAGUAUCAACCAGUGCAAAAACAAUCUCCGCAGAAGGCUCAUCCUCUUGAAGGGAACAACACCGCUCAAAGCUACAGACCUUCAAAAAAAAAAUUAGCAAAGCUGCUCUAGAGCCCCAUGGGUCCUGGGAAACUAAUCCCUUUAGGGUGUGGUUUCUACAAAUUCAAUUUCGCAUCAUUGGAAGAUCUUCACAAGGUAUGGAUAGCAGGCUCAUGGAAACUUCAACUAGGAAUUUUGCGUCUGACGCAAUGGAUCCCCGACUUCAACCCAUACAACAUGAGGCAAACCCAUGUUUAACUUUGGGUGAGACUCUUCGAGCUCCCUCUAGAAUACUGGAGACCUAGGCUUUGCGAGAUCACAACUUAUAUAGGUAUGUCGAUUAUCCUUGAUGUGACCACAAGAAACAUGGCUUUUGGCCAUUAUGCUCGUAUCUUAGUAGACAUUGAUCUAUCUAAGCCGUUGCAUUCGGAUAUCCUAGUUGAGAGGAAUGAAUUUGCUUUUUAUGCGAGGGUUGAAUAUGAAAAAUUAACCCAUUUAUAUGAUUUCUGCAAAACAGUGGAUCACACCCUACCUCAAUGUAAAAAAAAAAAAAAAAAAAGGAAUCUCAGUCCCACCAAGAUGGAAAAUUUGUUAUUGUUCAUCUGCCUACAGGUUCCAAGGCUACAGAAAAGGAACCCAGUGCCCAGAAAAACUUGGUUGUCAAGGCUUCCACCGAGGCCUAAAAGGAUUAAAACUUUGUUAAGAAACUCGUUACAGUUGUUGAGUCAAGAAUCAAACCCUUUCUCAACAAUGUAACAUAAUGAGUCAAAGUAUCGAUACCCAAGGAGAAUCCUCCAAGAUGAAUGACGAUGAAGACAACUCACACUUUAUGGUACUUCACACAGUGACAUUUCACUCAACAUCCUUGUUAGUCAUAAUCCUUUAUAGUGAGAGCAAAAGGAUAGCAGUAAAGUACGUGAAGUGAGACUCUUUGGUGGAACUGCCAAGCCGACAUGAUGACGUCGGAAUUAUUUGGGAGAAAGUUGUAUUUUGUUAAUCAACUCCUCCAUAGUUGGUUAUAUAAUUCUUUUUUUUUUCGAAUUGAGAAUGUAAAUCACAGAUUUAAUUAUAUGUAUGAACUAAUUUACUUUCCAUCAUGUGAAUGACGUGUACUGAGUUACUAUAUAUAUAUAUAUAUUCAUUUAAGUAAUUGUGCGUUGUUU